rnacentral:rRNA from 1 species
ACCUCCUUCGGGAGGGGAUUAGUGGCGAACGGGUGAGUAACACGUGGGCAAUCUGCCCUGCACUCUGGGACAAGCCCUGGAAACGGGGUCUAAUACCGGAUACUGAUCAUCUUGGGCAUCCUUGGUGAUCGAAAGCUCCGGCGGUGCAGGAUGAGCCCGCGGCCUAUCAGCUUGUUGGUGAGGUAAUGGCUCACCAAGGCGACGACGGGUAGCCGGCCUGAGAGGGCGACCGGCCACACUGGGACUGAGACACGGCCCAGACUCCUACGGGAGGCAGCAGUGGGGAAUAUUGCACAAUGGGCGCAAGCCUGAUGCAGCGACGCCGCGUGAGGGAUGACGGCCUUCGGGUUGUAAACCUCUUUCAGCAGGGAAGAAGCGAAAGUGACGGUACCUGCAGAAGAAGCGCCGGCUAACUACGUGCCAGCAGCCGCGGUAAUACGUAGGGCGCGAGCGUUGUCCGGAAUUAUUGGGCGUAAAGAGCUCGUAGGCGGCUUGUCACGUCGGUUGUGAAAGCCCGGGGCUUAACCCCGGGUCUGCAGUCGAUACGGGCAGGCUAGAGUUCGGUAGGGGAGAUCGGAAUUCCUGGUGUAGCGGUGAAAUGCGCAGAUAUCAGGAGGAACACCGGUGGCGAAGGCGGAUCUCUGGGCCGAUACUGACGCUGAGGAGCGAAAGCGUGGGGAGCGAACAGGAUUAGAUACCCUGGUAGUCCACGCCGUAAACGGUGGGCACUAGGUGUGGGCGACAUUCCACGUCGUCCGUGCCGCAGCUAACGCAUUAAGUGCCCCGCCUGGGGGAGUACGGGCCGCAAGGCUAAAACUCAAAGGAAUUGACGGGGG